rnacentral:rRNA from 1 species
GACGAACGCUGGCGGCGUGCCUAAUACAUGCAAGUCGAACGCAGUGGGGGCGGGUGAGUAACAAGUGGGUAACCUCCCAUCAGAGGGGAUAACACGUGGAAACAGGUGCUAAACCGCUACUGAUGGAUGGACCCGCGGUGCAUUAGCUAGUUGGGGAGGUAACGGCUCACCAGGGCCACGAUGCAUAGCCGACCUGAGAGGGUGAUCGGACACACUGGGACUGAGACACGACCCAGACUCCUACGGGAGGCAGCAGUAGGGAAUCUUCGGCAAUGGACGAAAGUCUGACCGAGCAACGCCGCGUGAGUGAAGAAGGUUUUCGGAUUGUAAAACUCUGUUGUUAGAGAAGCGGUAUCUAACCAGAAAGCCACGGCUAACUACGUGCCAGCAGCCGCGGUAAUUC